rnacentral:lncRNA from 1 species
CAUGAUUUAGGGUUCUCGGCAUUCUUUGGAUUUUGGUGCAGUAUCCUUGAAACCCUGAUCAUCUCUCUCUUUUAUUUAUUUAUUUUCACUGUACAAGCUAGCUACCACAUCUUCUUGUUCUUGAUGGAUCAUUGACUCGAUGUAGUUACUUACAAAAUGGCGAGACUUCUCAUCCACCAGUGACAAGUGAAUUUCUUCGUCGUUUUAUGAUCCUGUUUCCAU